GUGGGGAUGGCUCAGUGGUAAAGCAUGUGCUUAGCAUGCAUGAGGUCCUGGGUUUAAUCCCCAGUACUUCCA
rnacentral:tRNA from 1 species